rnacentral:pre_miRNA from 1 species
UAUAAUGCUUUGACUCUUUGUCUUAUUUAAAAUUUUUGUACGAUUAAUAUUCCUAUUGUUACUAAAUAAUAAAACAUGAAUAGUAUUUUACGUGUGACUAAUUUUUUUAAGUUUUUAAACAAAUUUUUUAAAUAAUACAAACGGUCAAACGUUGGACACAGAAAUC